GCUGUGAUGGCCGAGAGGUUAAGGCGUUGGACUCGAAAUCCUAUGGGGUCUCCUCGCGCAGGUUCGAACCCUGCUCGCAGCG
rfam:Salmo salar isolate Sally breed double haploid chromosome ssa03, whole genome shotgun sequence.